CUACGGGACGCACCAGUGAGGAAUAUUGCACAAUGGGGGGAACCCUGAUGCAGCAACGCCGCGUGGAGGAUGACGCAUUUCGGUGUGUAAACUCCUUUUAUAUGUCAAGAAAAUGACGGUAGCAUAUGAAUAAGCACCGGCUAACUCCGUGCCAGCAGCCGCGGUAAUACGGAGGGUGCAAGCGUUACUCGGAAUCACUGGGCGUAAAGGACGCGUAGGCGGGUUGGAAAGUCAGGUGUGAAGUCCUACAGCUUAACUGUAGAACUGCACUUGAAACUUCUAAUCUAGAGUAUGGGAGGGGGUGAUGGAAUUAGUGGUGUAGGGGUAAAAUCCGUAGAUAUCACUAGGAAUACCUAAAGCGAAGGCGAUCUCCUGGAACAUUACUGACGCUAAGGCGUGAAAGCGUGGGGAGCAAACAGGAUUAGAUACCCCCGUAGUC
rnacentral:rRNA from 1 species